AGUAGACAAGGCAUCUCGCUAAAUCCUAGAAUAACAGACCUCCAAGCUCGGCGACAUGUGACCAGACGUGUCUAGGCCUGUGUCUGCACGAGGCAUGAAUUCCUGCUCGUCCCGCCAGAGUACAGCUGCGCCACCUCCUUGGACAUUGGGACCACGUUCUUCUGAUAGCGGAUGUCAGGUCGAGCGCUUAAGACGUGAGUGGACUGAUGCUUACACAAGAACCCUCGGUACGGCACAGGUGCAAAGGCCACCUGAGGAGAGUGGCGGCGUGGGCUGGUGUACCGCAGUUCAGCCUACAGAAUAGUAAGCAAAUAUUUGGCUCGUUAGCAGAGAGGAGAUUGAGCGCAGAUGACUGGCCAUGCUGGGAACCCCACCUCUCCCCCUCCUCCUCUCGCCAGCCCGCCAGCCAGCACACUCCAAGACAAACACACCUACACGCCUAUUCGUGCAGGUUUUCUGGUGAUUGCGUCUCUUCUCGGUGGUGGAAAGGACAAAAAUGAAGUGUCUAUUGUUUUCUUUUGAGUUUUCAGACGGUGUUAAUGCAUUGUUGUUGCUGCUGAUGACAUUUGUUUUUGUUUCUGUUGUGGUUGUUGUUGUUGUUGUUGUUGUUGUUGUUGUUGUUGUUUCUGUUGGUGACAGUGGUAUGGUGCUGGUUCACGAAUAAUACGUAAAUAUUUGAGUCUGUGUCUGUGUCUUUGUCUUUGUCUGUGUGUGUGCACGUGCGCGCGCGCGCGUGGGUGCGGCAAACAAUCUUUUCAUUUUCCUUUCCCUUCCUCAACUCCUUUCAGUCCUCCUCCUCCUCCUCAUCCGCCUCCAUAUAUCUCUUAAACAAUGAAAUAUGAUUAACAUCCAGUCUAGAUCUGAUGGGAAAAUGUAUGCAUCAUUGUGUGUGUGUGUGUGUGUGUGUGUGUGUGUGUGUGUGUGUGUGUGUGUAAGGUGGCAUUCUUGAAAUAUUUUUCUCUGGAUUAUCAUGGUAGUACUGCAUGUAGCCUGAAUCUGUAUUAGCAUGAAAUAUUU